CUUCCAUUGAUGUGUUGCUCUGAAGUUAGAGGCUUUAGGAAGUUUACCAGAACAUUAAUCGUAAAUGUCUCCCAGAUCAGAUAUGCUGCUAAUUCAACUACUCAAGUUGUUGUCGCUUUCAUAUUUUAAUGAUUUAUGAAGUAGAUAAGAUAGUAAUCACAUCCUGCACUUACUCAGCUUCUCUAUAUAAGGGAGUUUAGUAUCUGCCAAGAGAGAGGAGCUUGAAUUCGAAGCCUAUUUCAGAUAAAACGAGUCAAGCUCCCAAAUAAAACACCUUUAAAAUGUAUCUCCACUUGUUCUUGUUGCUAUUUAGCUCGUGGGCAUCUGGAUACUUUCUUCCUCUGAAGGAAACGCUGCAUCUGCAGAACAAGACUAAAUACGCAAUAAUUGAUGAAAUGCUUUGCUUACUUAGAGCUGAAAAAGAGUCCAUAAAUGAGGAGUUCUCUACACCACUUCACAUCAAGAACCAAAGCUGUGCACAUAAUAUCACUGAAAAAUUUAUUCAUGAACUGAGAAGGAUCUCUGGGUGUAGGUGUAUGAAGAGAGUUGAGAAAGACAUGGAAAGUCUAGAAAAAAACUGUACCAUUUUGAAGAAAUCUUCAUCCGAAGACA